AUCUAUUGUAGUAGCAAAGUUUUAGAAGUUCGAUGACAGGGCGGACGGUUUGAUGGCCCAUCUUUCUCCCCGCGGUGACCACGCUUCCCUGGAAGCCUCCCCUGCACAACUAUGGCGUGGCCGCUUCCUUCCUUCCUUCUUUCUCGCUACUCCGUCCAUCCCCGUUGUUUGGAACAAGUGAUAGUUCCCACGGUUGCCCGAGGGGAUGAGGACGUCGAGGAAGGGCAUGGCCACCAUGCCGUUGGACGUUUCGUCUCGCGGAUUUCAGCAUUUGUUCAUGGCACCGGUAUUCCCAUUCAACGAAGUAUAGGUGGAACGAUUCCGGGUGCAAUCCGACACAAACGAACAAGUCCCAAGUAUAUACGUCGAUUGAGCUGACAUGGUCUCGUUGGAGCUGGUUUGGAAUUUGAAGAAGGGGCGAUCGGAGUCGGAGCAAAGGGAAAAGACAGUGGCGUCAGAACAUGGAAGAUCCAAUCCAAGGAGGGCAAUGCUCUGACAGUGGGGUUGGUUCGUCAUUGUCAACAACUCAACAUCAUUGGUUCCCGGCACCAAAAUGUGUUUGGUUUAUAAGGUUAAACUAGGAUGAGCUGAGGGUGACACCGUUCUCUCGAUUUUUUAGGACCAUGCCGGCACAAAAAAUUGCUUCGGUGUUCAUCUCGCUCCCGCAUGACUAUCAUUCAAACAUAAUUAAAAAUGUGACCGUCUCCUUCCAUCA